GAGCUGUGAGAAGGAACCGAGAGGGCUUCUGCGGGGAGGAACCCGGCUCUGUGUCCCCACCCCCGGAGUCCUGGCCGCAGAGGAGUGUGGAGCUUUAAAUGACCAUAUCCACCACCAAGAUUUAUUGUGAGAGUGAUUGAUGUUAUAAACCAGGAACAGGACUCUUCCCACAGCAGGGAUGACAGAAAUAUCAAGUUGAAGUUGCCUUUGUCCUCCUGCACAACUGACCCGGUACUACAACACAGAAGAAGUAUAAUAAUUUAAUCCGAGAUCUACGACAGCGUUAAGAGAACACCCCGCAGGCCCGCUAAACAUUUCCCCAGCUGAUUCUUGGGUUUUCCCUCCCAUUUCUUGGUCUUAGUAAGGCGUGAGAGUCAUGAAAGUGGGCUUUGGCCAGCACUUUGUGCAACGUGUUAUGUAUUUUUGUAGCUACUGAGGUAUCUGCAAAAUAACCACAAUUUAUUUAUUUAUUUAUUCACUGGGACUCUGGAGUGGGAUAAAAAUUAAGAAUCAGAACUAUGGCCUUACCACAUGCCAAGCUAUUAAGCUAUAAAGCUUUUGGUUUCUGGAGCACUCAUGUUUGAGGGGAGGGGGAAGGGUCUGGUUUUCUGCCACAUCUCAGUUGUUAGGCUGCUCAGGCUAUUUGGGGGAUAGCAACCAUCAUAGAAAUAAGUACCAGAUUUCUGCUGUCUAUGUUUUCAAGGUCUGAAACUUGGAAAUAGAAAUUUCUGGAAGAGAGCGAGACGAGCUUCAUGCCACACAUUGAUUUAUGUGCCUAGCAGUUAUUAUUAUUACCUUUUUUUUUUUUUUAGAUAAGCAAGAAUUAAGUCCACUUAUCCUACGGUGAUACAGUUAGGCUGAGAAGGGCUAGUGGGUUGAUAAUGAACUUCGGGGUGUUUGCGAAAACUCGCCAAGGGAUGGUUACCAGUUUGGGAUGUGAAGAUGUGGAAAAGGCCAUUAUGUAGGCGUCCUGAUGUGACGUCUUGAAGAAAGUAGAUUAAUAUGAAUACUGCAUCUUUUCUCUUGACAUUUUGUGCCUAUCCCUGCUCAUAAACACUUAGGGAAAAAUGGGUGGGAGAAAUUCCUUAUUGCUGGAUUCUACUAAGAAAAUCAGUUAGGCUGUAACUUAAGCUGUGCCAAAUUCUCCCCAAAUAUAAACUAUACUCUGUGAGAAGAGAAAGAAAAGAAGCGCUUUUGAGAAGCUGUAUUAACUCUUGAUAACAAGGGAAAUACUCUGAACGUUAGUGUUUCAAAACACUAACUAGAAAGCUCAUGGUUUGAAGGCGCGAGGUAGUUACUAAAAGUUCUUGCCUCACUUUUAAAGACAAGAGUUUAUGCCCCAGAGACAUCUGGCCAAUUUGCAACACACUUCUAACAAUUGGCUUUGAAAGACAGGCUAUCUUCGAAAGAUUUCAGUGCUAAGGAAAAAUCUGGCUCUAAAGGUUGUAAAAUGAAGAUUAGGUGUGGAAUGUAUCCUUGAACUUAAAUCCUGGUUUAUCAACUGAUAACUUUUCAGGAAGUUCCAAUUUGAUUCAGUUGUGCUUGGAUGAAAUAAUUUGCUUCCUUUUAUAUGAGAAGGAAAACUUCACAGGCUUCUUCAGAACUGACUUCGUACGCCAUCACAUUUUCUUUCCCAGGGGUGGGGGGAGUUAAUGUCUUCAAAUGAACAUUUGAAUUAUU